GCUCAGUUGGUAGAGCAUGGUGUUUGCAAUGCCAGGGUUGUGGGUUCGAUUCCCAC
rnacentral:tRNA from 1 species